rnacentral:lncRNA from 1 species
UCUUCAGGAGAGAGCAGAAAAAUUGCAAAAUCCUGAUGAUAUUAUUUCUAAUAAAUAUUUUUCUUUUUCUUAUUUUUAGAUCGUCAGAUUUGUUAAAGGAGCUGUGGGAUUUAGCAGUUCAACUCUUUGAUAUUACACAGAAUGAAUAAGUGUCAGCUUUUCAAUAAUCGUUUUUGCGAAUAGAAUCAACUUAAAAACAAACACUUCAAAUUCGUUAAGUCUUGUACCAUAUUUACAAAUCUCAUAUUUUCUUUGGGGGGAAAUACAAAAUAUUGAUAGCUAUGGAGUCAUUUCCCUAAAUGGACAAACGUCUUUGGGCUGCUUUGGUUCGACUAGCUUCAUGACUUUCAUCCUUUCACUCAGGCGGGCAUGGAAAUCCUGCGGAGCGUAGGGGUCUGGUUUAGAGGGUUUGCCAAGGAAUUCUCCAAGAAAAACCAUAUACCAAUUGUGAGGAGAAUAGACCACUGUCUUCUUAAUGUAAAGAUCGAGCUCCAAGGAAGAUGAGUGGAAGGGAUGAAAUCUAGGAUGGGUCAAAACUUGAGUGCGUGUACAAGGUACAAGAUUUUAGAUGUCUGUGGAAACGUUUGACCACACUAUUCGCUGCUGGAGUAUAAUUGACCAUGUGGAAGUGAGACACUCAAUUGAAUUUCAUAAUGUGGGACCAUAGUGAGGAUCGGAAUUGGACUCCUCUGUCGCUGAUGAUAGUGAGUGGGAUUUUGAAGCGUGAAAUCCAUCCAUCAACGAAUGCUCGGGUGUGUGUUUCGGUAGUGAUGUCGUUCAUUGUAAUUGCAUCAGGCUAACGAGUGAAACGGUUAACGUUGUUAAGUAGAUAUUUGAAAACAUUGGAAUGGGGAAGAGGUCCAACAAGAUCGACGUAUACAUGCUCGAAGUGAAACUGGGGUGACAUAAAAGAUUGAGGCGGCGAGAUCGAAUGGCGAGUAACUUUGGAGUUCUGACUUGUAAUACAGUUACGGUUUCACAUACAACACCUUUGUUAAUGCUAGCCAAAUUAACCGGGAUUUGUACCAGCUGCUGAGUUGUCGGUAUUUUAAAGUUCAUGAAUUUAUUUGAAGAUUUGAUGCUGGAAUUGUUGAGGUAUAUUUAUAUUUUCUAAUCUUAAUUGAUGGAUUGAUGAUAAGUUGUUGAAGUUCUAAAGAGGCUGAAUGGACAGAUAUAAUAGCAGCAUAGUGGAUGAGGUGUUCGUCAGAGAUGGACGAGACGUUGUGUGAAAGGAUGUCAGUAAGGAGGGUAUCUUCACCUUUGAUGUGGCGAUAAAAAAUUGUGAUAGAAACUCCAGCAGACGUAGUUAGAUGGGUGAGUACGUUAAAUUGUUGUCGAGGAACGCAGUUGUAAGUGGUUUAUGGUAAUUCACAACGUGGAAAUAUCUACUCUCUAUUAUAUAUCAAAAAUGUUUAACUGCAUGGUAAAUGGAAAGGAGCUCGCAAUCGUGUGUACUUCGUUUCUUUUCAGAAGUUGUGAGUCCUCUGGAGAAGAAGUUAAGUUGCUUCGAGGAUGUGCCAUCGUUUUGCUGAAGGAUAACUCCUAUUCCUUCUGAAGAGAUAUUUGUAACAAUUGCUGUAGGAACAUGGUGAAGAGGAUGACUUAGGCCAGGAGUGUUGAUCAGAGCUGAUUUGGAUGCUUCAAAGGCGGUAUUGGUGUCGUCAAUGCAAUGAAGUGGAUCACGUUUUGAUUUGCUGUAACUAGUUCUUCCUUAACAUUGGGGCCUGAGGAUCAAGGAACACUGGGGAUGAAACGAUUGUAAUAGUUAAUCAUACCAAGGAACUGUUUAAUUUGUUUCUGCGUCUCUGUCUUUGGAAAAUAGGAAAUGGCUUCACACUUGCUCUUUAAUGGCAAGAUUCCAGAACAAGAGACAGCAUGUCCUAGGAAGUUCAUGGUAGAGGCGCCGAAUACUGAUUUCUAAACGUUGAUUUGGAGGAUAAACUUUUGGAAUAUCUCAAAAAGGAAACGAAGAUGGGCUUUAAGGGUUGACUCGUCUGGAUUGAUGAUGAGAAGAUCUUUAUUAUGAGAGUAGACGAAGGGCAGUCCAGAGAUAAUCUUAUCCAUGAAUCUUAGGAACAUUUGUGAGGCGUUUCUCGGUCCAAAUGGCAUCCGGAUGUAUUCAUACAAUCCGAAAGUUGUAUAUCUCUGUUUGCAUGGAAACCAAUCUCUAGGAUAUCAUUUUGGAGUCAGCAGUGGCAUAAUUUCUCCCCAGCGUGUUUUCUAUUUAGCUACAUGGUUCCAUACAAAAAAAAAAAGUUGUUAUUGGGUGGAAGACGCGUUUUGUCACGUCUUUAUUAGGUGAAAUCAAAAUUCCAUGUACAAUGUUAAACAUAGAAAUAGAUUUGCUUUCAUUAAAAA